rnacentral:rRNA from 1 species
AUUGAACGCUGGCGGCAGGCCUAACACAUGCAAGUCGAGCGAGCGGCGGACGGGUGAGUAAUGUAUGGGGACUGCCCGAUAGAGGGGGAUAACUACUGGAAACGGUGGCUAAUACCGCAUACUAUCGGAAAACCCAUAUGGGAUUAGCUAGUAGGUGGGGUAAAGGCUCACCUAGGCGACGAUCUCUAGCUGGUCUGAGAGGAUGAUCAGCCACACUGCGACUCAGACACGGCCCAGACUCCAACGGAGGCAGCAGGGGGGAAUAUCGCACACUGGGCGCAAGCCUGAUGCAGCCAUGCCGCGUGUAUGCAGAAGGCCUUAGGGUUGUAAAGUACUUUCAGCGGGAUGGCGUUACCCGCAGAAGCAGCACCGGCUGACUCCGUGCCAGCCGCCGCGGUAAUUC